AACGAACGCUGGCGGUAUGCUUAACACAUGCAAGUCGAGGGGUAUAAGUCUUCGGACUUUGAGACCGGCGCACGGGUGCGUAACGCGUAUGCAAUCUACCUUGUACAGAGGGAUAGCCCAGAGAAAUUUGGAUUAAUACCUCAUAGUAUAUUUGAAUGGCAUCAUUUAAAUAUUAAAGUUCCAACGGUACAAGAUGAGCAUGCGUCCCAUUAGUUAGUUGGUGUGGUAACGGCACACCAAGACGAUGAUGGGUAGGGGUCCUGAGAGGGAGAUCCCCCACACUGGUACUGAGACACGGACCAGACUCCUACGGGAGGCAGCAGUGAGGAAUAUUGGUCAAUGGAGGCAACUCUGAACCAGCCAUGCCGCGUGCAGGAUGACGGUCCUAUGGAUUGUAAACUGCUUUUAUACGGGAAGAAAAAGAGUUACGUGUAACUUAUUGACGGUACCGUAAGAAUAAGGAUCGGCUAACUCCGUGCCAGCCGCCGCGGUAA
rnacentral:rRNA from 1 species